ACGAGGCACUACGGUGCUGAAGCAACAAAUGCCCUGCUUCCAGGAAAAGCCUCUAAGCAUCAGGUAACAUCAAAUCGUACCCCAAACCGACACAGGUGGUCAGGUAGAGAAUACCAAGGCGCUUGAGAGAACUCGGGUGAAGGAACUAGGCAAAAUGGUGCCGUAACUUCGGGAGAAGGCACGCUGACACGUAGGUGAAGUGAUUUACUCAUGGAGCUGAAGUCAGUCGAAGAUACCAGCUGGCUGCAACUGUUUAUUAAAAACACAGCACUGUGCAAACACGAAAGUGGACGUAUACGGUGUGACGCCUGCCCGGUGCCGGAAGGUUAAUUGAUGGGGUCAGCGCAAGCGAAGCUCCUGAUCGAAGCCCCGGUAAACGGCGGCCGUAACUAUAACGGUCCUAAGGUAGCGAAAUUCCUUGUCGGGUAAGUUCCGACCUGCACGAAUGGCGUAAUGAUGGCCAGGCUGUCUCCACCCGAGACUCAGUGAAAUUGAACUCGCUGUGAAGAUGCAGUGUACCCGCGGCAAGACGGAAAGACCCCGUGAACCUUUACUAUAGCUUGACACUGAACAUUGAGCCUUGAUGUGUAGGAUAGGUGGGAGGCUUUGAAGUGUGGACGCCAGUCUGCAUGGAGCCGACCUUGAAAUACCACCCUUUGAUGUUUGAUGUUCUAACGUGGACCCGUUACCCGGGUUGCGGACAGUGUCUGGUGGGUAGUUUGACUGGGGCGGUCUCCUCCUAAAGAGUAACGGAGGAGCACGAAGGUUGGCUAAUCCUGGUCGGACAUCAGGAGGUUAGUGCAAUGGCAUAAGCCAGCUUGACUGCGAGCGUGACGGCGCGAGCAGGUGCGAAAGCAGGUCAUAGUGAUCCGGUGGUUCUGAAUGGAAGGGCCAUCGCUCAACGGAUAAAAGGUACUCCGGGGAUAACAGGCUGAUACCGCCCAAGAGUUCAUAUCGACGGCGGUGUUUGGCACCUCGAUGUCGGCUCAUCACAUCCUGGGGCUGAAGUAGGUCCCAAGGGUAUGGCUGUUCGCCAUUUAAAGUGGUACGCGAGCUGGGUUUAGAACGUCGUGAGACAGUUCGGUCCCUAUCUGCCGUGGGCGCUGGAGAACUGAGGGGGGCUGCUCCUAGUACGAGAGGACCGGAGUGGACGCAUCACUGGUGUUCGGGUUGUCAUGCCAAUGGCACUGCCCGGUAGCUAAAUGCGGAAGAGAUAAGUGCUGAAAGCAUCUAAGCACGAAACUUGCCCCGAGAUGAGUUCUCCCUGAGACUUUAGGUCUCCUGAAGGAACGUUGAAGACGACGACGUUGAUAGGCCGGGUGUGUAAGCGCAGCGAUGCGUUGAGCUAACCGGUACUAAUGAACCGUGAGGCUUAACC
rnacentral:rRNA from 1 species